rnacentral:rRNA from 1 species
UACGUAGGCAGCGAGCGUUGUUCGGAGUUACUGGGCGUAAAGGGUGUGUAGGCGGUUCGUUAAGUUUGGUGUGAAAUCUCCCGGCUCAACCGGGAGGGUGCGCCGAAUACUGAGGAACUAGAGUACGGGAGAGGAAAGUGGAAUUCCUGGUGUAGCGGUGAAAUGCGUAGAUAUCAGGAGGAACACCGGUGGUGUAGACGGCUUUCUGGACCGUAACUGACGCUGAGACACGAAAGCGUGGGUAGCAAACAGG